rnacentral:lncRNA from 1 species
AGAAAAGGCUGCUUUGUACGCGUAAAACUCAAUUUCACCUCCACCAACUCACAUGUGAUGCUAUACAUGUGAGAAACAUUCCCAGCUGUAAAAGGGAGAUGUAAUCCUCAUUUCUUGACCACCUUUCAUCAUUAAAGAGCCAAGAUUGCAAGAUUGAAGGGGAUCCAAGAAUAGAGAGCAAGACAUAGAAGAGACAUACGGGAGAAACUUGGUCUGCAACAAUGUAGUUCUUUCAUCUUCUUAGUAGUAGGUUAGUUUAGUUUAGCUAGUAGUUCAUCCUUUCUUGUUAUUAGCUAGAUUAAGAAGAAGAUGGAGGAUGAAGAAGGCAAGGAAGAAAGCUCAUGUGACAAGGGUUGUAUUCCUUCCAAAAUCUUUAUCUUUUGUACUUGAUUCUAAGUUUAGUUAAUAUACAAGUUCUGGAUUUUGUGUUAUUUAUGUGUCUCUAAGUCUAUGCCUUGGGUUUGGUUGAACUUCCUAUGAUUGUUAGUGUUUAUUAUUUGGUUAUUUGAUUGCUAUGAUUUGAGCAAGUUAUUUAGCACUUUGGCUUCUUAAAUCAUGAUUAAUCUGGUACCAUUAAUUAUGAUUAUCUAAGGUGUUGUUUCUGCAAUGAAAAUUGAGAUUUAACACUAGUUCAAGAGGUACUAAACAUAGGGAGUACACUCACGAAAGUAGAGGUGCACUUAUGUGAUUUUUAGUGAUUCAUUUCAUGUAAUUUCAUUGAAGAAAUGAACUUGUAGCUAAUUUCAUAACCAUGAAAAUAGGUAUGGAUUAGUUAUGAGUAUAGUUGAUUCACUACGAAAGUAGGUUUCACAUGUUUAAGGAAAUUACACUAUAACUAGCUUAGAUGUAGUACUCAAGGAUCCAAAAAUAGCACUUGCAUGAGUAGUUAGGGAUACCACAACCUAAGGAGCUUUUAUUUGUUAUUUUGUAUAAUUUGAGUAGGUAAAAUUUGUUAUAAUUCAUUGAUAGUCUAAAUAAUAGAGAAGCUUUAGUAGUACCGGUAAUUGCAAUCUUCCUUGUGGGAUCGACCCUUAAUACCCUAUACUCGCUCACGAUUCGUAUACUUGCGAUAAAUCGCGUGUGGGGUGUUUAGGAAUUUAUAAAUGUAAAACUUGAUUAGAAUGAGGUUAAAUUGAUAUGUAUACCCUGCGCACGUCAAGUUUUUGGCGCCGCUGCCGGGGAAGAUUUGGCAAUAUCGGUGUGAAGAGUAACUUUAUUAGUUUAGACAUAAUAUUAGUUAUAAUGUGAAUGUUAUUUUCUGUUAUUUUUGUGUUUUAUGUGUGUAUGUGUUUUAUCACCUAUUCUUCUUACUAAUUUUGCUCUUAAGUUGUUUAAAAGCAAUUUUAGGUAAUGAGAAGGGUAGGUCAAUUUGGAGGACAAUGCUUGAGAAGUGGAAGAUUGGCAAUGGAUGGUUAUCAAGUGCAAAGCUCCUUCAACAGAGGUAACCAAGAAUUUACUGAAUGUAUGUCUUUUGAAGAUGGUUUAAGGUGCUUAAAGGCUAAAUUUGAUGUUAUGAUGUUACAAGUUCAAAUGGACACAAUUAUGCAUAAAAUUGAGCAAGGGAGGAAUGUUAAUGCUUUUAAUUCUUAUCAUGUGAUUUGUGACUUGUGUGGAGGUUAUCAUGCUACUAAUACAUGUAUGCAAGCACAAAAUGUGGAUUAUUAUGAUGAAUUAGAGCAUUACAAUCCUUGUUUUGAUCAAUAUAGUGCUAAUUGGAGCAAUUCUCCUGCUUAUGGUUGGAAUAAUCAAUGUACUUAUAGUGAUAAUUCAUAUUUUUAUGAUCACCAACCUGAAAUUGUCCAAUAUGAAUCAAAACCAUCUUGGGAGUUGGCAAUAGAGAAGUUAGCUAAUGCACCUCUACCUUGGGAGUUAGAAAGUGAACCAUUAGCUAAUGAUUCUAAUGCAUCUUGGGAGCUAGCUGUAGAAAAUUUUUCUAAUCAAUUUGAUUUAGCAUUAGAAAAGCUAGCAAAUGCAACUUCAGAUCGUUUUGAUAGGAUUGAGGAAAGAAUAGAUGAAUUAGCUUCUCACUUUGGUAGAAUACAUGAGCAAUUGAAUGCAUUGUGUGAAGUUAUUUCCUCUAAUAAAUUGCAAAAUGAUCCUAGCAUGAAUGGUAGGAAUGUUGUAUGUGAAAAUGGAUUGCAUUUUGAUGAAAAUGAUGAAUCUCAAUUGUGUUUCAAUGAGCAAAUGUCCAUUUCACAUGAUAAUAUCUUUGGAACUAACUUUGAGCCUCAAGAGGUGAGUUUUAAUAACUCAUUUUUCACCCCUCUUGAGGAGUGUAUAAAAAGUACAGGUUUUAAAGAUAUUCCUGCCCAAGAUACUCUCAUGGCAUUCCCUUUGGUAAGUUCUCAAGUGGUGCAUAUUCAAGGUAAUAUCUAUGAACCACUUGGGAUAGGUAAGUCACUUCCAUUUCUCACAUCAUUAGAUCAUGUGGCUUUUGCUAUAAAGUCACCAUUUAAUGAUCCACCACGACCACAAAUGGUGGAUUAUUCGCUAACAAAGCCUCCUUGAAAAAAUGAGGAGAAAUAGUCAAGCUAUUGACUUUAAAGAAGCGCUUAUUGGGAGGCAACCCAAUGUUUGUUUAAAUUCAUUUUACUUUGGAGUGAUUUUAUGUUUAAAGUAUAAGUUUGAGUAAUUUUGUUGUUUUUCAUUUGUAGGUUUUGGAAAAGUGACCAAAUGAGGUGAAAAAGGCGAAGUUUGAUCAAAGAUCUCAAUACCUCAAAUUCAGUAAUUAUGAUUUUUGAUGCAUUAAAGAGGUUUAGAAUGCAUGUUUAGAUCAUUUUACAUGUGCGUGAAUGGUUUAUUUUGACAUAGAAAUGAUCUAGGGUGUAUUUUGAAGAAUUGAGGUCAAACUGAAAAUUGCAAAAAUUCUGCAAUAAGUGUAGAUUCAAUGGAUCCAAGGCCUCGGAUCCACUUCUGCAAUCAGAAAAAAUUCGAGCUUCUUGAUCCGAGCUCACUUAUCAUGAUCCGACCUCGGAUCCUUUCAAAAACGACCUCGGAUCCUGUUAAAAACGAAGGCUUGGAUCACUUUUCAACUCCACUUUUCUUCAUGUUGGCUUGUUUUUAGUAAGUUUUAGUUGUUCGAUUAAUGUUUUUGUUAAAUUUGGAUUUCAGGCCGGAUUUUCGACGAAUCCCUCCAAUUUCUGGCCGGAUUGUGAACAGUAACCAGCGUAAGAUGAAUCCAUUUCACGGAUUCCUCACAAUUUUUCUUCCUUCUUCUUCAACCCAACUCACACACUAACACCUCAAACACACACUACUCACUAAACUCACUCUUUUCACCAUCCAAUCUUCAAACCAACUAUACCAAAACACUCCCCUUUUACUUGAGAGAUGAUUUCAUAGCUAAAAAAUUCUUCAAAAACAAGUCUAAAUUCGGAUUUUAGUUUAGCAAGAGCAAGGGUUUCAAAUUUUUGAACUCUUCAUUUGAGGCCGAAUUGGAGUGAAAUUUUUGGGGGUUUUCAUCACCAUUGGCAUCCAUAAUCAUCAACCAACAAGUUUGAGGUAACAAAUUUUCACCAAAUGUUGUCAUUUGAAUUUUGCCAAUUUUUAUUUUUUUUCUAUUUUUGGGCAAUUCCGAAUUUUUUUCAUUUUGUGAAGUUUGGUGCUUUACAUUGUGCUUAUUGAGCUUAUUGAUGAUUAUUGGUGAUGUUUAACUCAUGAGUUUGUCAUUAUUUGGUGAAAUUUUGCUAAUUUUAUGCUUAAUUUGGCUUAGUGACAAAGUUGCAUAUUAAGUAGCCAAAUGUAGCAUUUUAAUUAGCUUAGUGGGAGUUUUUUAUAUUUAUGUGAGUAAUUUAGAUUAUCUAAUGAAUGAAAAGGUGCUUGAUUGAAUGAUUUUGUGAAUUCUUAGGUAAUUCUAAAAGAAGAGGUGAAUUGAAGAUGACCUUAAUUGAUGAAAUUCAUAAAUGCACUUACAAUUUUUGUGGUUCAAUAGUUUUUAGUGUUUCAUGAAUUCUCACGAAGGUCAUUUAUAUUUUGGUUUGGUGUGUUUGCCUCCACUUUGAGAUUACUUUUGUACUUGCGGGGAUUUGAUCAUUGAUGACAAAAUAUAUAAAUGGAACUUAUUUUGUUCAUGAUUGUGGAUUUUUUUGUGUGAAAUUAGCUUCCCUUUGCUUUGGAUACUAAUGCAUAUAUUUGAUUAGCAAAGAUUAGCUCAUUUCAUGUUUUUAUCCGUUGAACAUUGUAUGGUUCCACAUGCUUGAUCAUUUUUCCUUUUUCCUUGAAUUGCAUGAUUUUGUUGAUUGCAACCUUUUAUUUUUAAGAAAUUUAUUUGUUUUGAUUUUGUCUUUUUCAGGGUGCAAUAAGUGAACUCUCCAUUCUUUCUCAAAUACGGUUGGAAAUUCAUCACUUGGACAUGGAUUCGGAUUGCGCAAGUUCAAUUGAGCAGUAUUUUCUUUUACUCCUUAUUUAUUUUCCUUUUCUCACAUUGAGGACAAUGUGAAGUUUAAGUGUGGGGGAGGAAAGUAUUGAACUUGCAUUUACUUGCUAGGUGAUGAUAUUUUGUGGAUUUAAAUGUUUAGAAAUGUUGGAAUUGUGUUUGAAAUGCUUGUCAUGUGGAUAAUUUGCUAGAAAAUAGGUUUGUUGGCAGGGAGUUUUCUUCCAUUUAUAAGGAGAAACUCUGUAAAAAUUUUUCUAAAAUCUUUUCCAAUAUUUCACUAUAGCCCAAAAUUUCUUCAAAUUUUUGCAUUUUCAUUCAAAAAGGGCCAAUUUGUUCCAACCUUAAGUGUUUAAUUCUUCCAAUUGUUGAAAUGUUAUAUGUAUUUUGGAAGGUUUAGUCCUCAUUUAACUUGGAAAUGUUUAUUAUGCAAUUAGAAUUUUUACAUUUUAGAAAGUAUAUUUGGUAAAAUGAGGAAAAUUAUGCCUAUAAUUUUACAUGUUUAAUGAGAUUUCUUCUCUUUACUUAAUUUUGCAAGUAAGUGAUUGAUAUAGUCGAUAAAGGUUAUAUUCCUCCUUUGAUUAUUCUUAUAUAUUUUCUAAGAGGGAAUAUCUAUUUAUUGUCCUUUAUUUCUGAAAAAGAAAAAAAAAAGUAGAAAAAAAAAAAGAAAAAAAAAGAGAAAAGAAAAGAAAGUAAAUAAAAAUUGUUGUACUCCAAUGAUUCUCGUACCGAGUAACCGGGGGUUGGCAUCUACAAAUGUCAACAUUCGCGUAAAAAGGUACUUGAAUUAAGAGUAUGCAUUAGCAACUUGAAUAAGUGAAAUGUUGAGUAACCGGGGAUCUUCACCUAAAAGUGUCGAUUUUCGCGUAAAAAGGCAUUCUCACUAUUUAAGUAAAAUUUGUGUGAAUAAAUCCCUCUUAGUUAUAGAAUUUUGAGAAAAAGAUGAUUAUAAGGAGGAGGAAAGCUAUAAAUUGACUAUGUGAUUUGCUUAUUUGUAAAAUUAAGUUAGGGUAAGAGAUUAAGUUUAACUUGUUGAAUUUAGGGUAUAAUUAUCUUUCCUUUACUUGAUAUUAUGAGUAUUUAGUGUAAAUUGAAUAAUUGUAUAAUGAUUAUUUUCCAAGUCUUGAGGAAUUAAAUUGGACAAAGUGCAUAUAUUGUUUCACCUCUUGAAUCAUUGUAGUUGAUUAUGUGUGAAUUGCUUGAGGACAAGCAAUGAUUUAAGUGUGGGGGAGUUUGAUAAGUGACUAAUUUACGUAAUAAUUGUAUGACAUUUUAUAUUAUUUUUAGUCACUUUGGUUAUAUUAUUGGAAGAAUAUGAAUCAUUUUGGCUAUAAUUGGUGAAAAAUGCUUUUAAGUGAUUAAAUGAGGUUUUUAUCACUUUUUACUUGGAUUUUGUGUAUUUUGACAGUUUUGACAUAUUUUCGUAUUUCGGCUAUAACUUGAGCUACAAUGAUCGGAUUGGGAUGAUUCUUGAACCCAUUUGAAGAUAAGAGAUAGAUCUACAACUUUGCUGAAGACAUCCGAAUCCAGUUUGAAGGUUUUCAAAAUCAAAAAGCCGAAUUACAUUAGCUGAUUUCUGUUGGUCGAAGCUGAAACAGGGCAAUGAGCAGGUAAGGGUAUUUCGGUCAUUCUCAGCCUACACAGAUCCAAAUGAGGUGAUUCUUGAUGCAUUGGAAAGCUAACUCAAAGGGCUACAAGUUUUAUGUUUUGGUCAAGAGCUAAAUCAGCUUUUAUCAUCAAGAAAAGUUCAGUUGAAGUUGAGUCAAAAUCGGAGCAGAGCUGGAAAUUGAACCAGAAGUGACCAAAUGGUCACUGUAGCAAUCCGGCCGGAAUUUGGCCGGAUUUGUGGCCGGAUUCCUGGCCGGAUUGUGGUCAGAAAAGGCUGCUUUGUACGCGUAAAACUCAAUUUCACCUCCACCAACUCACAUGUGAUGCUAUACAUGUGAGAAACAUUCCCAGCUGUAAAAGGGAGAUGUAAUCCUCAUUUCUUGACCAUAUUUCAUCAUAAAAUAGCCAAGAUUGCAAGAUUGAAGGGAAUCCAAGAAUAGAGAGCAAGACAUAGAAGAGACAUACGGGAGAAACUUGGUCUGCAACAAUGUAGUUCUUUCGUCUUCUUAGUAGUAGGUUAGUUUAGUUUAGCUAGUAGUUCAUCCUUUCUUGUUAUUAGCUAGAUUAAGAAGAAGAUGGAGGAUGAAGAAGGCAAGGAAGAAAGCUCAUGUGACAAGGGUUGUAUUCCUUCCAAAAUCUUUAUCUUUUGUACUUGAUUCUAAGUUUAGUUAAUAUACAAGUUCU